rnacentral:rRNA from 1 species
GUUUUUGAACUAUGCCUGCACGACGUAAGAGAUCUAGAGGUGAUAAUUCUUUGUAUUAGGUGUCUUGUGUAAAAAAAAGACAUAGAGUGGGGUCUGGAAAAGAGUGGUGAGAGGCGGAGGUAAAACCCCAGGCGCGAGAGGGGAUAUCUAUUAUAUUGCCCCUAAAGCGCCCGGACGGUUUUUGAAAAACUUUUGUAAAUCGGGCAUAGCUUAUGUGUGACUUAUCUGAUGAGACUGCCAGACUUGGGCCCGGAGAGGGCAGAAGGUCCUCUUUAGGGUAGAGGUGAAAUUCUGUAAUCUAAGAAGACCCACCAGUGCCAAGGGCCUGAAAAAAAAAACGGCCCCGACAUAAAGGAACAAAACCUGGGGGCGCAAACGGGUUUCAAUACCUGGUAAGUCUAGGCAUAAACCCUAGCGGGUUUGGGGUUGGGGCCCCUACAAGGCCUUCCGGUACCGAGAGAAAUUGCUUACCCCCCCGCUGGAGAGAGCCAAUGCCAAGAUUGAACUUUACAGCAUUUGAAGGGGAACAACCCCAAGGGGGGAGCCGUGCUGUUUAUCUGAAUCCACCCCCGAAAAACUCGCGGGGGCCAAGGUUAAAUCGAGGGGCUGGCGUGUACUUUUCCCAAAUUUCCCGGAAAGUUUGGUAUGCCCCAGUAAACACGACCCGAGGGUUUCGUGUUGGUUGGUUCGGGCUGGCCCCCCCCCUUGGUGACGGGGGUUCUUGGGGGGUCUGGCGGAUUUUUUUUAUACUUUUGGGGAACGGCGGUUUUAAACAGGAAGAGGGGGGGGCGAACGGGGGCAGGUUUGCCAUUAUUCCCCGGGCUAGACCGGCCUUUCCGGGGGGGCUUUUGUUCCCCUUCGGAAAGUUAAGUUAACCUAAAACCUUUUGGGGUUUGAUGGGGACUAAAACCGUUUCAAGGAGGGGUUUUUUUUAUUACCCCCGAUCAACCUCCCCGGGGGAGGUGUCCCUUGUUCGUUGCAACAGCAGGAAGUUACAAUUCUUUCAAAACGGGGGGAUUGCCCCCUUAAGGAGAGGUUAACUUUCAGGGGGGGGGGGGCGGGGCCCCCGCGGGCUAAUCAGAGACCCCCUAUUUUGCUAUUAUAGGACUCUCCGAGAACCCGGGGGGGGGGG